GUACACACCGCCCGUCAAGCCACGRRAAGGGAGGGGCAUCCGAAGUCGCUGUGCUAACCGCAAGGAGGCAGGUGCCGAAGAUGAAACUCCUGAUCGGGACUAAGUCGUAACAAGGUAACCGUAGGUGAACCUGCAGAAGGAUCA
rnacentral:rRNA from 1 species